AUUGUUCGCAAUGGGCGCAAGCCUGACGACGCAACGCCGCGUGGAGGAUGAAGAUCCUCGGAUCGUAAACUCCUUUCGACCGAGAUGAAUACCCAGGGGACUAAUACGUUCCUGGGCUGACAGUAUCGAGGGAAGAAGCCCCGGCUAACUCCGUUCCAGCAGCCGCGGUAAUACGGGGGGGGCAAGCGUUGUUCGGAAUUACUGGGCGUAAAGGGUUCGUAGGUGGCCAACUAAGUCAGACGUGAAAUCCCUCAGCUUAACUGGGGAACUGCGUCUGAUACUGGUUGGCUUGAGUGCAGGAGAGGAACGCGGAAUUCCAGGUGUAGCGGUGAAAUGCGUAGAUAUCUGGAGGAACACCGGUGGCGAAGGCGGCGUUCUGGACUGUAACUGACACUGAGGAACGAAAGCCAGGGGAGCAA
rnacentral:rRNA from 1 species